rnacentral:misc_RNA from 1 species
CCGAGUGUCCGCACUCCAAACCCCGGCGAACCUACCAAUCGUUGCCUCGGCGGGCGGCUCCAGGGCGGAGCCUCCCGGCCCCCCGUCGGGGGGGGUGCCCGCCGACGGCCCCCAAACUAGUUCAUCUCUAACUCUGAGCACUGCCGCCGCGGCGGCUGAAAACUUCA